rnacentral:rRNA from 1 species
UACGUAGGGGGCAAGCGUUGUCCGGAUUUAUUGGGCGUAAAGCGCGUGUAGGCGGCUGGGUAGGUCCGCUGUGAAAACUCGAGGCUCAACCUCGAGACGUCGGCGGAAACCAUCCAGCUAGAGUCCGGAAGAGGAGAGUGGAAUUCCUGGUGUAGCGGUGAAAUGCGCAGAUAUCAGGAAGAACACCCGUGGCGAAAGCGGCUCUCUGGGACGGUACUGACGCUGAGACGCGAAAGCGUGGGGAGCGAACAGG